ensembl:lncRNA
CCCGACCCGGGAGUCUCGACCCUGGGGCAGAGUCGGUCCCCUGGCGCGCCGCGGACGACUUUCCUCCCGAAACAGCUCCAUGCCUUUUAAAGGCAAUUCUUGGGGAAGCCAACAAUCAGACCUUCAAGAGCAGGUCGUUUCAGUUGUUUACCAAGCGAGAGAGUUCAUUUCUUCAUUCCACAGAUGUUCAUUGAGUGUCUCCUGUGCGCUGAGUACUGUUCUGGGCUUUGAGGUCAUUGCAUAACAGUGCUCCAGGAUUGACAGUCCUUUCAGUGUCGCAUGGAGUAGACAGUUCCUCAAAGAAUUAUAAAGAGGGUUGGAGACUUGGAACACAGCAAAUGCAGAAGGAGCUGAGACCAGAAAACAAGCCUCGGAGACGAUGAACUUCCCAAUGGCACUGCAGGUUAUGCCUACUUGAGGGCGCUGGUGUCCACUUCCCUUGUCUGCCAAGAUGCCCAGAGCUAAGUUUAGCACAAAAGCAAUCACUACUCCUCACUUCAAUUUCAGUUAUUAUUUGUCUUUCUAGACAUGCCUUUCUAUUAUUUGCCUUCUAGAAUGUCUAAGAAUUCUAUUAUAUGUAUUUUCCUUUUAAAAAAUACACUUCAGAUCUCUUUUUGGAAAUAGGUGGUUGCAAAUAUAAUAAAUAACUCAC